rnacentral:rRNA from 1 species
AUGGCAGGCUCCGGCGAAAGCGCGAGAACUACGGCGGCGUCGCCUCCCGGACCGCCCCCCGGGUUCGGCGAGGGCGCCCCGCCGGACAACGCUCUGCACGCCCUGGGCUUCGAGUACACCCGCAUCACCGGGAGCGAGGUCCUUGGCCGCCUCGCCGUCACCGAAACCUGCUGCCAGCCCUUCAAGAUCCUCAACGGCGGCGUCUCGGCGCUGAUGGCAGAGUCGACGGCGAGCAUCGGCGGGUACAUGGCGUCCGGGUACCGGAGGGUGGCCGGCGUGCAGCUCUCCAUCAACCACCUCAAGCCCGCCCGCCUCGGCGACCGCAUCGAGGCCAAGGCGAACCCCAUCCAGGUCGGCCGCAACGUCCAGGUUUGGGAGGUCCAGAUAUGGCUGUUGGAUCCUGCCACAUCGGAGCACAAAGAUUUGGUAUCAUCAGCAAGGGUUACCCUGCUAACCAACUUGUCAACACCAGAGGAAAUGAAGAUCUAUGAGAAGGGCAUCAAGAAAUAUGCAAAGCUUUAG